rnacentral:rRNA from 1 species
AAUCAACGCUGGCGGCGUGCCUCAGACAUGCAAGUCGAACGCGAAAGGCUCCUUCGGGAGCCCGGUAGAGUGGCGCACGGGUGAGUAACACGUGGGUAAUUUACCUUCGGGUGGGGAAUAACAGCCGGAAACGGCUGCUAAUACCGCAUAAUGCAGCGGCACCACAUGGUGACAGUUGUUAAAGUGGGGGAUCGCAAGACCUCACGCCUGAAGAGAAGCCCGCGGCGGAUUAGCAGUUGGCGGGGUAAUGCCCACCAAGGCGUCGAUCCGUAGCCGGCCUGAGAGGGCGGUCGGCCACACUGGACACUGAAUAACGGGUCAGACUCCUACGGGAGGCAGCAGUCGGGAAUUUGGGCAAUGGGCGCAAGCCUGACCCAGCAACGCCGCGUGAAGGAUGAAAUCCCUCGGGAUGUAAA